CCUAUUCUUCAGACGUUACUCUUCAUUUUCACCACUCUCAAAUCCUGCCUAUGGGGAGCCGUUACUAUAUCUGGAUCAUGAACCAUGAUUCGAAAUAACAUCUUUGUGUUCUUUUUGUUCUUCCGCUAUGGAUACACCAGAUCAAGCUUUCUGUCGCAUUUAGCUUUGGAUGGUUGUUUCGCUUAAUUGGGCAACAACAACAACAUCAACAAAUUAGAAAAAUUGGCGAAACAUGUUUACAAUUGAAGGGUUAACACUUUUUAGGCUUUCAUGAUAUUAACACCAUUCCUGCUACAGAAUCGAUAGAUGGAUUAGCUCAAGCAAGCUAAGAUCUUCAUCUCCAGGGUCAACCCUUCAGUUAAUAAAUAGAGUAGCAUGUUUCUGUAAAAAGGUCAAGUUACUAUUGUAAAUUUUUUCUUUGUCUCUUAGAUCUGUACGUAUUCAAGGUAACUUUUUUUUAAUGUUUGAAUGCCGGUAUGUGAGAGAGCUUACAUUGUUCAGUAAGAAGUUCAAAGAAAUUGCGUUGCGAGAUAUCUCAUGCGAUUUAAUUAUCUAUUGCAGAUUCAAUGAGGUUGUAUUCACAAUAGAGGUGCAGAGCCGAAAAAGGAACAAUUGUGCUAGCCUGGGCAAUCACUGAAUACUUUGUUUCAUUAACUGCUUUGUUCUGCCAACCAAUAAUAUGAUAUUCAUAUGUUGUUUUUCUCUCUUCACGACAGGUUAUGGUUGCUAUGAGAUUGUGGCACUUGGUACACGAUAUUGUUCCUCAUUCUUUUGAUUACUACAACGUGCAACUUAAAACUAACGAAACAAAGGCAUUAUGCUAUCCAUUUGUGUGUUACUUGUCGUCGAUCUUAACCGCUAUGGCUUUGCGCAGACCACAGAGACUAAGCAGGAACACUAAAAUGUGGUUGUGCUAGAACUGAAGCCACCAUACCUAUCAUGCAGCGAAUAGAUCAAAAUACUUGAGAAAACCUACCCACACACAGAGGAAAGUAACACAAUUGUGCCUUGAAAUAUCAAUAUACGUUGCAAAACUCUAUGAAUUCUCCAUGGGAGCGGGUGAAGAAUAUCUUCCUUUGACUGUCAAUGAUCAGGGAGAUCUCCUUUAUUAUUUAUCGGUGUUAUUCACUGCGUUGAUCUUUCACCCCUUUGAGUUUUCCCCCCGAAAAAAGCCCUGUAGAUAGUAUGUUGUGAAUGUUAGUACAAAUUUAUAAAACGUUU